rnacentral:rRNA from 1 species
CAGUCGCCACGGUAAUACGUAGGUGGCAAGCGUUGUCCGGAAUUAUUGGGCGUAAAGGGCUCGCAGGCGGUUUCUUAAGUCUGAUGAGAAAGCCCCCGGCUCAACCGGGGAGGGUCAUUGGAAACUGGGAAACUUGAGUGCAGAAGAGGAGAGUGGAAUUCCACGUGUAGCGGUGAAAUGCGUAGAGAUGUGGAGGAACACCAGUGGCGAAGGCGACUCUCUGGUCUGUAACUGACGCUGAGGAGCGAAAGCGUGGGGAGCGAACAGGAUUAGAUACCCCGGUAGUCCCUGUCUCUUAUAC